rnacentral:rRNA from 1 species
GUCUCAGGCCGUAUCAGCCUGAAGGCGCCCGAUCUCGUCUGAUCUCGGAAGCUAAGCAGGGUCGGGCCUGGUUUAGGAUCUUGGAUGGGAGACCACCUGGGAAUCCCGGGUGCUCGAGGCU